UCCCUGAGUGUACAGAAAAUGGUUUUCAACACAUUUGCGAGAUGUUGGGUCAUUUUUUUCAGGUCCACAUUUUUUAUUUGACUCUUAAUAUUUUCCAUCUCUUACUAAUAUUCUACAUUCCAUGUGAUUUUUGCAUUUAUGUGCUUCUCUAAUUUCUUUUACGAUGACUAUUUGAAGUCUUUUUUAAACCCAACAAUUCAUUGCUCUUAAAGCAUUUUUAUGUUGCUCAUGUAUUUGUCUAAUCUAUGGUUCACGAGUUACUAUUUCUUUCUAUGUCUAAUGACUUUUUAUUGUUGAACUGGAUAUUUUAGGUAAUAUAUCUUACCAGUGAAGUUGUGAUAUUGUCUUAUUGCUCCCAGAUUUUGUUUUUUAAUUGUGCCUAUUUUUUCUAGUGACAGUCCAUCAUUCUAGUAAUAUUUAUUUUCCCCCCCUAAAGUAAAAGCUGCUGUGUCUUAUUUUGUGGGGUGCAGCCUUGGGUAAUCAGAGGUUGCUCUAAGAUGGCAUUUUUUUAAAAAAACAGAGUAGCAUGGCUCUUUUUGGCUAUUUCUUUCUUUAAUCAUAGCUUUGUUAAGCUUUAUAGUCAUCAGCAGACAUCCCAAGCUUACCCAUUACUAUCUCUCUCUGGUUCUCUCCUGCAGGUUAGCCAGCAUGUGAUCGCAUCUUUACCGCAGAUGAACCUGAUGACCUCUUCCUUGAUGUCUUCUAUCACCAGCCUCUUGCUACUGUCCUUAGGUUUGAGCUUCACAGUUGCUCCUUAAUGACAUCAAUUCCUUUAGAAGGUGUUUGGCUUGGGCUCUUGGAACUGAGUAUAAAGAAAGGCUCUCUCUGCUGCAUGACUGUGGAUGCAAUAUGAGCAGCCGCUGCAGGCUUCUGUCACCAUCACUGAACCUCAAAUGGUGGGCCUUAAUAAACUCUGUCUUCUUUAAGUGCCAUUCAUCAGGUAUUUCAUGGGAGUGGAUGAAGUCCUGAGUGAAUGUGUAUUGUUGACAAAGGUACAGCCAUGUUAAGGACCCUAAUGCCCCAGAUUCUAUAGAAACGACAAUGCCUUCCCAGGGUGGUGAGGAUCAGAGAAACAGCAAACCCUUUCUCUGCUUCCAAUAUUGGUGUUUAUAUGAAUGGUCAUCCUUCCACUGAACUCAGUGAGUUCAGAAACUAUCACCUGCAGCUUCCACCUCCUGGAUGUGACUGCUCUCCGACAGAGACCUCCCACAGAGACGGGCUAACCCCUCCUUCAUAUGCUGUACCUAUGGAACACACAGAGUUUCCAGGCUGCAGAGUAGGUGCCCUCUCUGAGGGUAAGCAUGGCCCACCUGGUCCCAGCUUCUGGGUGUGUGGCUUCUUCAGUGUGCCAUUUCUUCAUCCCUUGGUUGCCCCAGUAGGGUUUCUCGAACAUUGCCAUCCAUGACACAAGGCAUCUUGUUGUAGAAGAGUAGUUAUGCAGUGGUACCCACUGCCAUAACUGGUGAGUGGGAGCACUAUGAAAGAGGGCAUGGUGUCUUGACUCUACUUGCCUGGAGUAUAGUUUUCAUCUCACUGCAUUUGGAAGGGAGAAGAAAGAAUGGCUGUUAGUUCAAGUACCACAGGUUCUCAUUGUCCUAACCCAGUUUUGUAGCUCUUCUGGAAUCCUUUACUUUCAAAAUGCAUUUAGAACCACUUUUUGAAAAAAAAAAGACAUAAAAGUAGUUUUGUUUUGUUUUUGCUUUUAAAACCAUUUUUAACUAGUUUUAUAGAGAGGCAGUUGUGCAGGGCUCUGGUCUCAUGGUUUCUUGACAGAGUAGAGUUCACUUGUUUGUUUGUCUGCUUUUGGUGUUUCUAAUACCUAGUCUAAAAUUUAGCACAUCAUAGGCACUCAUCAUAUAGAUUGAUGGAAGAGUCUUUGCAAGGCUGUGUAACAGAAAGUGCAAUAGCUAAUUCCAUAUAUCAGUUUGUCUGUUCUCAGGCACUUGUGAAAGCGUUGCCUGUGUCUAUGAAGGUAUCAAUAGCUGUACUGAAGUCCUUCCUGAUAUGGGUUGACAUCGGCCAACCAAUUAACAAUAUAAAAGGUUGACCCUGUUGUGAAUAUGUAGGAACAACUUCAGCCAUCCACUGUGGAGCUGAGAUAUCAUUCUUUAUCUUCCUGUCUUCAGACUCAAACUGGAACUAUGGGCCUUCUGGUUCAGCCAGCCCACUGACAGUGGAGCUUGGGUUUUAUCAGCCUCAGAUACACACACACACACACACACACACACACACACACACACACACACACACACACGCACAUCUACCUCUGAUUAAUAAGGGAAAGAACACGUAGAAUCAACAUUGUGACAUAUAUGGGAUUUCAUGAUGCAGCAGCCUCGUUCUAUCAUCCCGUAGACACUGAGAACAGCAUCUUCCUGUGGCUGUUAAGUUGAUAUCUAGGCAGUGUCCAGUCUUCUUUUUUUAUAUGGGUGCAUCCAUGUCCAUGUGUGGAGAAGUGGAUAUGGAGUUUAGAGGCCAACCUUGGCUGUUUCUCAGGAGCUGCCACUUUGUUUUAUAAGACAAAGUCUCUCAGUGGUCUGGGGCUGCCUGGUAGGCUUGGCUGGGUGGUCAGUAAGCCCCAGGGUUCUUCCUGUCCCUGCUACCUCAAUGCUGGGAUUAUAAAAAUGUGCCGCCACAUUUGUUUUAUUUAUAUGGGCUCUGGGGUUUGAACUUAGGUCCUUCUGAGCUCUCUCCGCCACUCAAUUUUUCAUUUUUAAGGAGACUCCUUUUCAAGUGAGGCCUUCCUUGAUUACCCAAAUAAAAUCAGCCUUAAUCAUAUCCCCAUUCUUCACCUCAAUGCUGCAUUCAAACAAGUUCAGAUUUUGUGGGAGAGACACAUUAAGGUCUGUGUCUAGACAUGACUUCUUGAGAAUUAUGUCAGUUUUGGCUUAAAUCUUUGGAGAAAAUGGCAGUUGAGAGUGGCGUUUUAUUAUUAUGAGCCUCUGUCAAUACGAGUCUCUGUUGAAUAAUUUCCCAUCAGCAUUAGCAUGCUGGCUCGAUGCUCCCUUCCCACUUUGCAUUGCAUUCACGCAGACCCUAUUAUCUGAUCCUACAGAGAUCUUGUUUAUAGUACACAAAACUCCCCUGGAGGGCUUUCCAUUUAAAGGGGAGAGAGGAGAGCAGACCAACAGUACGCCAGUGCAAAGCUAUAGCAACAUGUGGAGCUGAGCAUGGAGCGUGUGUGCACGUGUGCACGCGUGUGCGUGCGCAUGUGUAUGUGAGAGAGAGAGAGAGAGAGAGAGAGAGUGUGGUGUCUGUGAAUGUGUGAGUGAGUGUGUGUGUGUGUGUGUGUGUGUGUGUGUGUGUGGUGUCUGUGAAUGUGUGUGUGUGUCUGUGUGUGUGAGUGUGGUGUCUGUGAAUGUGUGUGAGAGUGUGUGUCUCUGUGAGUGUGUGUGUGUGUCUGUGAGUGUAUACGUGUGAUUGUGAGUGUGUGUGUCAUGUGCUGUUUGUCUGCUUGCCAGCCUCAGUUCAGAACCAGCAGCAAGGCAAAGCCAAGAGCAGCAAACUGCCUUCUGAGAACACCAGAGAAACAACAGCCUUUGCCCGACCAUCUAUUUUCUGCCCGUUUUUUUUUUUUUUUCUACACUGAAGGCUUAGGCAGAGAACUGACAACAUUUUCAAUUCGAAGCUUAUUCAACAUUUUUGUGUUGCCACAAUUAGGUAUCUCAGAAGCAUGUGCUGCCUUCCAUUCAAACCCCAGCGUCCGCUCUGACAGGUCACAGACUAAAAAACCAGGAUAAUGACAUUCUAUCUUGAUCGCAGGAUCCAGACGCACCAGUCUGGUGUAGAUCAAAAAAGAAAACAACAACUCAAGUGCUGAUUUAAUUUCCUUUGCCUCAGAUAUUGAGUUCAUAUUGAAAUGGCAUACCCAGCGUGAGUUUUGUUAAGAAUAUAGCUUCUUAGCAGUCUGUGAAAUCUACAAAAGUUUAAAGAAAUGUAAAGUCCUAAUGCAUGAUGAUUCAUAUUCAUUUGUUUUGCUAAUGGUUUAUAUACCUGUGUGGAUACUUUCAUUAAACAGGAUAGGUAAGGAGAUCUGAAUGAUUUAGAAUUUUAAAUGGUUUGUAUGUAUCCAGAACAUUGAGGAGAGAAUGAUGUAAAAUUUAAAAACUGAAUGUAUGGGUGCAUACAGAUGCCUGUGGGGCCAGAAGAGGGCAUCAGAUCCCCUGGAUCUGGAAUUAGGCAGUUGGGAGUGGCCCAAUAUGGGUGCUUGGAACUCUUCAGAAGUACGGCCCUUGUCAGGAGAACUAUACCACCUUAAGCACUGAGCCAUCUCUCCAGCCCUGGAUAUACUUUGGUUGGAAGACAGGCUCCAUUUGCUUGAGCAUCUCUUUAAUCUUACCAAUUCCAUCCCUGUUACCAUUUGAAGUUGUCAAUUACCCAGUCUUAACAGUUAUAUUGUAGAUACAGUGAGCCCACUUGGACUUUCCCUCUGGGGUUGAAAGAGUUACUCUCUUCUCAAAUGCAGAGACACACUUUCUUACCUUUGCCAACUCCAUCUCUUCUCAAGCACAGAGGCACACUUUCUUACCUUUGCCAACACUUGCCUCACAUUCAACUACUCUUCUGUAGACAGAGAAGUUUGGAAGAUGUGUCUAGAAUGUUUUCUUUUCAUCAGUCACCAGCUCACAAAUAACCACAAGAAGAUUUCUUAUGAAUUAUAAAAGCUUGGCCAUUAGCUUAGGCUGGUGCCACCAGCUCUUAUGACUUAAAUUAACCCAUUUACAUAAAUCUACCUCCUGCCAUACGGCAUUAUCUCUUUUCCAUCUUGCACUUCCUGCUUCCCCUCCAUGUCUGGCUAGCAACUCCACUUUUCUUCUUCUUCCCAGAAGCCUCUCUGUCCCCAGAAGCCCCACCUAACCUCUUCCGGCCUAGCCAUUCAGCUCUUUAUCAAGCCAGUCACAGUGACACAUCUUCACACAGUGUAAAGAAAUAUUCUGCAACAAAUGUGUCAAUCAUGGGGCCACUCCCAUUAUUUCAGUCAGCUUCUCUGCUUUGAAGUCUUGUCUCUUCUCUGGAUUAGGCACAUUACACUGGUAAAUAACCAUAUGCUGUUUGAGCUCGUUGAAAGUGGAUUUGAGGAGUAAAGAGGCCCUCCCUUGCCUCUGCCUAAAGGCAGGCUGUCCCCCUAACUUGGUAAUAAGAAGAAGGGAAAACAGCAAACCCCUAAGAGUAUUAAAAUUAUGUGGCCCUGAGAACAAUUAGAAGGUGAACGAUUUCCAAUCUAGAUGAUGAUUUUUAUUCCAUAAUGUAAGAAUUCGUGUGGUGGAGUGGAAACCGGGAAUUUCAGCCGGGGACUCUCAUUCAUGGAAAUAAAUCUCAACUGGGAACCUUAGCUGAUGGACUAGACUACUCUGGUUGGUUUCUGCUGCAUGUCGUGAGGGCCUGAUUUGAUGAUGUCAUCUAUCUAUUGCCCUUUGUUCUUUCCCUUGAAAGCAUCACUGGGGGUGAAGGGGGAAGGUGGCAGUAGGCACUCUAUUGAUGCCUCAGUGAAGCUUCCCCAGGGGAUUUCUGCUGGACAUUUGUACCCCUGUCCUGGUUAGAUGGUACCUUUGCCUGCUCACUCAGUUGGGCCACUCCAGUCACCUCUGCUGCAUGUGUGAGCACCUGGUUUGAGAUGUUCUCUGUCUCGUGGUUUCUAUCUGCUACUCACUCUUUACCCACCCUGUAACCUGAUCUGACUAUAUGAUUACUUAAUGAAUGCAAUCAUCCAAAACAGAAAGCACACAACUCUAGAUUAUUCUCCAGAACAUAUGGAACAUAAUUGGCACAGUCUGUAGGAUCUAUUAGAUUCCAUUCCUAAAUAAACCAAUCUAAUAAAUCCUCUUUAACAAUUCAUAAUCAUUAUGCCAGUUCUUUUCCUUCAGAGAGCUCUGAGCAAUAACAGACACUCUCUUCUUAUUCUCAAACAAAGUGAACAUGGUGACUUACAGGACCAAAGGAACUUGCAGAGGUGGGUAGUAAGGAGUCUGAGAUCUUGGACCAUCCAUGUGUGUACAGUGUCAUUUCUGGAGUCCUUAUCCAAGGGAAACAAGGGGGUCAGAGAAAGACAAGGAGGAGGCGUGAUGAAGGUGGAGAUGAGAAUGAUUAAAGAACAUGAGAAGCUUCUAAAAGCUGAAGAGACAAAGGAAAAAAUUCUUCCCUAUACCCUCCAGAAAGAAGACAGCCCCACUGAACCAUAUCAGGUUCCAACUCCCAGCAUUAUAAAAUCAUUAAUGCGUGUUGUUCAAGGCACAACAAUCUUAUAUCAUCAUCAAGAAACUGGAUACACCCCACUUUCUCAUUUUAGUCUUGCAGAAAGAACAUGGCUAAUCAGUAACCCCUCCUUGAUUUAUUUCUCUUCAUUCUUCCAGAAAGACUCUUCAAUCGGAUUAGAGUGUUGCCUUGGGGUUACUAUUGCUCUAAUGAAACACCAUGACUAAGUCCAAGUUGGGGAGGGAAGGGCUUAUUUGGCUUACACUUCCACAUCACUGUCCAUUACUGAAGGAAGUCAGGACAGGAACUCAAGCAGGACAGGAAUCUGGAGGCAGGGGCUGAUGCAGAGGCCAUGAAGGGAGGCUGCUUACUGGCUUGCUCCUCAGGAUUUGCUCAUCCUGCUUUCUUACACAGCUCAGGACCACAAGCAAAGGGAUGGCACUACCCACCAUGGGCUGGGCCCUCUCCCAUCAAUAUUAAUUAAGAAAAUGCCUUACAGCCAGAUCCUAUGGAGAUAUUUUCUUAAUUGGGGUUCCCUCCUCUCAGAUGACUCUAGCUUGUGUCAAGUUGACAUAAAACUGUCCAGCACAAGUGCCAGUCAGCUUCCUAAAACUGUAUUUACAGUUUUUUGUCAUAUGCAUUUUUUUCUGGGAAAUGAUCCACUGAAAGUGAUCUAUGUUUCAGCAUUGGAAAUGUCAGUCUUGCCUGGGCACUCUCAACUUCCUGCAUUAUCCCAAGAAGAGUGUGAUGGAGAUAAAAGAAGAAAAGGGUGAGAAAGAGCAUUGUCACUGUCCUUUGUUGGUGGUCCUUCCUCCAGGCAAACGAGGAGGCUGGGUGAGGUUUCCUACAAAAUGGCAUGCCUCUAUUCCCUUUAGGCACUGUUCUUUCUUACUUAGGCCAAAACCAGUCCAUAGUUGCCAAUAAGUUUGCUGAGAGGCAUUUUGUUGUACUCUCUGCUGUACUGGACAUGGUGGCAUUGAGACUGGCAGUGUACACAGGUGGUGUCCCUGAGGACCUGGCUUCCCUCCGUUCUUGUCCAUGACCACAGAUUAUGUCUUGACCACUACAUAGAGUUUAAGGGCAUCUCUGUGAGUUGGAACUUCUUUUCGCGCCUGUAAGGAUGUGGGCAGAAGAGGGAGUGUUUCCUGUCUGAUUCUCACAGGAGCUGUUAGCAGUAUCCUCACAUGAGCAAAGAGGGAAAGGUUAUUCAGAGUGAACCAUGGGCACAGAACUGUGUGGAGACUGUUGUUGCUGUCAGUGUGUGUGUGCACAUAUGCAUGCAUGUGUGCAUACGUGUGUGUGUGUGUGUGUGUGUGUGUGUGUGUGUGUGUGUGUGUGUAGUUGCUAGUAAAGGCCACAAGACAGAAGAUCCUCAGGAACUAGAGUUCCAGGCAUUUGUGAGCAUGGAGCUAGGACCUGAAUUCAGGGCCUCUGAAAGAACAGUGCAUGCUAAGCCAUCUCUCCAGCCCCUGGCUGGCUUCCGUCUGAAACAGUGUCAACAGCAACCCAGCUGUAGCUUGCUUUCAAGAAAGCUGUAAGUGUAAAAGAAACUGAAUGUAUUUUGUUUGCUGAACAAACUCGAAAAGAAACCAUAACAAUGACUUGAAAGUACAUAUAAAGACAACACAGUUGCCAAGGACUCUUCUCUCAGCUCUGUGUCAUGCCUUUGUGUCGUAUUUUAGAUAUUCAGAACUGAUAGCCCAUACCCUCCCUGUCCUCUGACAGAUUGGGGGACUAUAAUGAGAGCCGAUCCACAGUCUGUAAGGUUAAGAUAUCUUUAUUCAGAUAAACACCAACCAAAUGCAAGCCAGAGCGUGCCAGGGACAGCAAGGCAGGCAGGCAGAGAGAAGGGCCCCCAUGUGCCUUGCAGCCCCUUAAAAACCUAUCAUGAGUCAUCCUGACCUCACCUUGACCACGCCUUCACAGGCGUGGUCAGGCACACCUGUAGCCAGCCCUUAGGAGGCAUUGUUACGGUGUCUCCCUACAGGGGACUAUGGAAAUGGCAGAUCCAGACACAAAAUCCAACUGUUCGGAAUCUGAGUUCAGCCAUACCCUUUACUUCCAGCACCUACAAGGUCUCUUUCCCCAGCAAAGAGAUUUCAAGCAGCAGGCAUGCUGCCUGGCAUUAAUAUCUUAUUUGCUUUCAUGGGGAUGAGACAGUCCCUGCAUUAUCUUUUCCAUCUAUGAAUCGUUUACUCAAUACAAUCUCUGUAUAGAUGAGUCAUAAUUGACAGUGUUGAAAUACUCAAGUCAUCUAGGUAAGUGCUCAAUUGAAGCAAACUACUUUUUUCUUUGCCUGCUAAUGCCUCAGGAUAAAAGGGCAAUGUUUUCUAAAGCAGUUUUGCUUUUAGGUAUUAAUCUAAACAUUAGAACCAUGUGUCUUGUAUGUUUAUACAUCUCAAAUUGUAUAUAUGUACAAUUAUUUACACAAUUAUAUCUAUAAUUACAUAAUUAAUAUGUGGUUAUAUGUACUUGUACAAUAUCAAUUGUGUAUCUACCCAAACACAUUAUAUGUAAUGUAUGCACAAUUAUACACGGAGGGAGAAUGAAAUGAUAAAGUUCCCUAGAGCUCCAUGGAACACGAAUAAGCAUAUGGACUGUUCCCUUACACCUACUCCACAAGUUUGAGUAUUGAAGAUUUAUAUAGUUAGAGACUAUGUGGUGUAAAUAUGUAUAAAUUUAUAUUGUGCUAAUUUAUGGCAUGUGGUACAGAAGGCUGCUUGCAAGUUGCAGCGUAUUUCUUCCCACGUUUCUGCUGAAAUAUUCAUCUCUGGGUCCCUUCCUCAUGCUUGCCUUUGUCUCCCCGCAGAUGUUUGGAGCAGCUUGUUUUCAGAGGAGUGGAAGUAUGCUUCCUGAAUGCGAUUCAGGUAAAGAAUGCACUAUCUCAGCUAGGAGGCAACUGAAAGGGACCCCCUCACCUCCAGGUCUACCAGUUUCUCUUUGGAAGACAAUUGCUUCCAUGUAACAACAUUCUUUGUAUCUGCUAUCCCCUGUCCUACAUGCAUGACAGCAUCUUGUAAUCUAUGUGUUAGAACUCCAGUGGAGAGGGGAAACCUCAGAUUGUACACACACAUACUCCCUCACACAUACUCACCUGCACACACACACACACACACACACACACACACACACACACACACACACCUGCACACACCCUGACAUACACACAUUUCUACACGCACACACAUAUACAUAUAUAUGUUGUUUUUUAAAUAAACAUACCCUGGUGUGCAGUUUCAUUUGUAUAUUAGACACAGAAAGAGACUAAAAAUGAUAACCAAAAAAUAUAGCAAUAAUUACAGCACACCAUGACACAAAUUAUUAAAACCAAUGAAGUGUUAAUUCCUGAAAUGUUCCAUUUAAUAUUUUUUGACCAGAGGUAACCUAAACCACAGAAAUAGGCAAGACAGGAGUAAAAAAAGAAGUGUAUACAUAAAAUCUGCUUUAUGGGCCAAUACAUACACACACACACACACACACACACACACACACACACACACACACACACACAGAGAGAGAGAGAGAGAGAGAGAGAGAGAGAGAGAGAGAGAGAGAGAGAGAGAGAGACUGACUUACUUUAGAAGCACUCUGUCUAGUCCACCCCUAGUUAUUUGUGGCUGUACCAAAGGGGGAAAAAAUGGCUGGAGAUUCACAGAGGGCUCACGGACUGCAUUCCACUUAGCCCACUCUUGCAUCCCUGUAGGUUGCUGAAUGUCAUCCAGUUGACCUGCUUGAGUUAAUCAAUGUGUGUUUUCCUGGUCCCUCCACCUUGAGGCGUGUUCGUGGGAAGUGGAAUGACUGAGAAGGAGGCAGUGGGCAGGAAGAGGAAGAAGACCGGAGCCCCAAAUUGAUUAAACAGACCCCAGAUGAUCACCAGCUCACAGGGGACGGCGAGAGGUUUUAACCACCCACAGCUCUCCGUAGCCCAGAGAGUCCCUUCACAGGUCAGAUCCCUCUCUUGGCCAUCUAUUUUUAGAUUGCUCACUUUUCAUCUCCUGUUAGAACUGUGCUGCUAGAGCAGUUUCAGAAGAGACAUACUUGUGGUAGUAAUGGAAGCAUCUAUCGAUCGUACCAAGAUUGGAGAAUCAGAUCUACUUUGCAGGUCUUUUAAGUACCACUCAUUCACUAGCCCUCUCCCAGUGUUCCACCGCGGCAAGCUAACAUUUGCACACAUCUUCAACAUUUUGGAACCUUUUUAAAAAUGCAUGUUACCACACGAGCAUUUCUCAAUUGCCCUGUCAGCUUUAAGGUUUUUGCAGUGGAAGAAAAAUUGUUAAGUGUUUAUGAGGGAAGGUCUUAGAGUCAUUUAGCUGCUAAAUGUCACAGACCUAACACAACCAUAGCCUGCCUUUCCAAGAGGGAUUAGGAUGUCCUCUUGGACACCCUGGGUUGAGUAAAGCAAACAAACACAAAGAGUCCUGCAUCUGGAAUAAUUGCUGACAUGCAAGGUUUGCUAAUCUUUCUGGUGCUCCUGUCUGAUCUCCUCAGUGCCAGGAGCUGUUCCGGGUGCUUGCCUUCCAUGCUCACCACAGUCAGUGAGACCACACUCAGCUAGAAAAGAGUGUCCACGCUGAGGGGAAAUCAACAGAAAAAUGUGUCUGUAUAGAUUGUAGGGCCCUGGUAGAGGGUGAACUUUAGGAAGUUGGGGGGCCAUAUGAAUCCUGUGGCAGGUAAAGGGGUGCUGCUGAGAGUUUCCGGCAUGAAGGCACGACUUCCUUCCUGGGCCAUCUCUCACCUUCCCUAUAAUCUCUCGAGGGAGGUGAAAUGUUGGGACUACUCCAUUGCUAUUUUUCAAGUUUGGGGAAGGUGUGAUUUUGCUAGAAUGGAUAUUGUCAAUGACAAAACUGAGUCCCUGAGCCAAAUGGCUUCGAUGGUUAGUGUUGAUUUCCAACUUGGCAGGAUCUGAAAUCACCCUGGAGACAGGUUUCCAGGCACACUUGUGAGGGAUGAUUUAGAUCCAUAUAGUCCCUGGGCAGGCCUAUGAGGGACUUCCUUGGUUAAGCUAACGGAGAUGAGAAGAGCCAUCCUCUAAUUGUACUUGUGUUCUGGACAGCAUUCCAAAGAGAAGGAAGGAAGCCUCCCAAGGGGAUUCACCACCCUGGUCCCCGUCUGUAGAUGCAGCACAACCAACUGUCUCAUGUUCCUACCAGCAGCGUUUCUCCACCCUGAUGGACUUUGAACUGUGAACCAAAUAAAGCCCUUUCUCCCAUAAACUACUUUUGUCAGGAUAUUUUAUCACAGUGAUGGGAAAAGAAACUAGUUCAGUGGUGUUUGCAGAAAUUUGAUAAGGAAAUGGCUUGAAGAAUCUUGAAUGCAUUCAAAGGGGGGAAUCCUUUAGCAUCGACCGAAGAAACCCAUGCAGUGGAUUUUAAAGUUAGACAACUGAAAAUAUCAACUCGAAGGGCAACAAUUUGAUUGGUUAUGAUUCUCAGUGGGAUAGGAGGGAGGAGAUGACCCCUGGAUCUAAAAACAGGUGCCAUGCCUCUAUGAGUCUUUCUCUUCCUCUGACAGAUCCAUGAGUAAUUGACUUCAUUUACCAAACAGGCUGAGCACACGUAAAAUUAGGCUACUCAUCUGAACGAGGGGAAAAAAAACUCCUGUUUCCCGGCGUAGUCUCAGAGCACCAUGUGUGAGAGAACACGACAGAAUAGAACUGAUUAUGCAAAAUGAGCGAAAAGAGAACUGCAUCUCUUGGUGGCAUGUGGCAGCCUUGCAGGGAAGGCAGAGCCCAGGGACACUGGGUGCUAUCUCUGACAGCCAUGUGUCACAAAACUGAAUGGCAGGAUGGGGCUAAGAUAUGGGCUUGUAUGUCCUUGUACACAGCCCUCCGAGAUAUGCCUGCAGUACACACAAACUACUCACACAUUCAAAAGAUGCCCUGAGGGGCCACUAGUGACAACAUCCACAUGGAGGAAAAAGGAAAACACUAUUCAUCCCCCCCCCAGCCCUGUUUUUUGGGUUAUCCCAUAGUCUCCACUCUGCACAGUGACUGCAAAAGCUUUGAAGAGGCUGGAAAUGAUUGCCUGCUUACAUAGAGAGGUAGUAAGGAGGUGAGGAUGGAGAGAGGCUUUUUAGUUCUCCAAGAACAUAGACAGACAGGGAAUCCAAGUGGUGUUCUGAAGAUGAGGAUGCUUGCUCAGUGUGUCUACUGUGAGCCUAGUAGCUAUCUAGGGUCCUGGGUCCCUACUGCAAAAAUAAAUAGAUAAUGCCUUACUUUAAGAUCCCUCUCCAAAGUGUGUCUAUAGAUAUGUAUAUACUUACGACUGAAUCCAGACAUUAAUGACAUUCGGUGCAUAAAAGCACGUGUCCUCCACGAAGGUUUGAAGACCUACGUAAUGAACUCUGUAUACUGAUGCCUAGUUGCAAUCAUGGCAGUAUAGACUCACCAGGAGAAAAUGACAUGACUGCAAGACUGGGUGCUUUGACAACAGACAUUUGAUUCUCUGUCCCUUCAUCAUCUUGGGAACGGACAAUAGGAUUCUAAGGACAGUGUCUCAGAGCAGAAGGACUUGCUCUGUUCAAAACUUGGAAAAUCUGAAUGAUAAGAUAAUUAAAUCGAUCACAGAUCACAAACCACUGGGGGAGGGGGGUUACAAAAAAUGUGCAUCCAUGCUGAUCCUGAAAGUAAUUCAAGGAGAAGAAGGCAUUCUUGCUUAGAGCUAAGUCUUCAAGACCAGUUGGUAAACUUCGGAAAACCAUGAUUUUUGUAAGCAUUAUGGUGCAGACUAGAAGUGUCGCUUUGAUGCUAAGUCUCAUAGGGAACUUUGAAAAAAGCAGGAUAUCUUCAUGGUUUAAAAGUAUGCGUGUGUGGGAAGGAGAGUUUUCUGAAAUAUAGAAUGUUGGCUGACAGUACCGGGGAACAGGUUGGCCAUACUGGGCCUGAGGGAAAACUGGGUCGGCCCCAGACUCCUUCUUCAUGGUCUUAAAAUACAGGAGAUACUGGAAGCAACAGCCAACGGCUGUAAAGAGGAUGGUGAUUCAUGAAUUCUAUAUGAAGCCAGAUCAUUGUUCUGUGAAGGGAACAGAAUGUUAUUUUAAGCUAUGCGAUGACUUAAAAAAUAUACAACUCAUUUACUCUUUUUGACAACUACUCUAGGUACCUGAGUGACUAACUAAAGACAAGACAUUCUUGGCACAAAAGUCCUCAAACCAUCUAAAUAAGAGUUUCUCUAACACUUUGAAGUAUUUUUGAGGGAAUUGAAUACAAGAUGUCAUCAAUACUUCCUAAAAUAAUUCUCAGCAUGAAGUAAUAUUGGUAGCACCAACACCGAUUUAAAACUAUGAAAUAAAACAAAAAAAAUCCAUAUUAACUCACAAGAAGAUGGGUUCAAGGGGAAGGGGUGAGAAAGUUUAUAUUAAUCUCACUGUUUGCUGGGAAGGUGAUGUGAAUCCCAGAUUUGACAGGAAGGAGAUAUAGUUCACUCCAGUGCUGUAACUGGUGAGUUUGUGAUGACGCUUAGACUCACAUGGAAUCUGGUAAAAGAUGCUGAAGCAUCCUUGCCAUGAUCACAAUAGGUGACUACAGUUAACCCCUAGGCCUUAAAGCAGUGGUUCUCAACCAUCCUAAUGCUGCAGCCCUUUAAAAACAGUUCCUCAUGUUGUGGCGAACCCAACCAUAAAAUCGUUUUCAUUGCUACUUCUUAGCUAUAAUUUUGCUACUGUUAUGAAUCAUAAUGUAAAUAUCUGAUAAGCAGGAUCCCUGAUAUGUGAACCCUGCAAAAGGGUCUUUCAAACCAAAGGGGGUCACGACCCACAGGUUGAGAACCACCCCAGGAAGGAGGGAUUGCUGUAACUAUGUGAGCAAUGGCUAUAGCCAUGGCUGCAGGAGAGCAACCCCAUUUGGAGCCAUCUUCAGUAGAAGAAUAUGGUCCUACACACUUGGAAUCCUUCUGGAAGCAAGUUUGAAGUCAUUACACUCGGCUUCCAUUCCCCACAUCCCCCAUACUCUGCCACAGCCAGCCAGUGGCUAGAUGCCAGGGUAAUCUGUGAUUGAAGAAGCCUUGUUGAUAUGCCAAGAUAUCAGUCUCUGAGCCUCCAGGACCUCAGGAGAAACCACAGGACAUUCAGCAGUAACAGUGGAUACCGUCAUUUAGGGUAUUUGUCUCACUAAAGAUACAGAGGAAACGAGUCAAAUCAAUUUGACACGUGGUGUGUUUUCUGCUCUAGGAGCCUAAAAUUCAUCCAUACUCUACAAACAGUAAGAACUAGAGUGAAAGGCCCAUUCACCCUGAGUGUCUAAAAUGUAUUUCAUGGUAGAAUUUGUCAAGAAUGACAACUCUUGAUACCCAUGGAAUUGGGAAAUACAAUACUAACACGUUCAAGAAUGUGCUUUCUACUUUACAAACCACAACUAAUGAAAACUCAUAAAGCAAAAAAAGAGAGAGAAAAUAAUACCAAAGGGCCCUCUAAAACUAGAAAGCUCCAUAAGUUAGUUAAGCCAAAACAUAAAGGACACAGAUCCCUUACAGAAAGACAGAAGCUGCUCAAAUUAACUUUGAAAUAAUAAGUUAACAAGAACCUUAUUUCAUUUUUUAAAAACAAAGUUUUAGAAAUUACAUAUAAAUGAUUACUAUUUGGAAGUAUCCCAAAUGCCCCUUGCUUUGGAAUUUGCCUUUGCCUGAGCUUGAAGAUGAUCAAGGAGAUAAGAAAAGACAGUUGUUAAAAUGGAAGAGGGAAAUUAAUGCUGAAUUUCUAACAUCUGCAUCUAGAAUCUUAGUUGCAAUGCUAGGGAAAAGUAUUUCAGGGUCUUUAUAGAUCUCCCUCCUAAACCCAGCAAGGGUUAGAGCUGAUGGGUCAUUUUCAUACUGUGCAUAAGACCCAAAGAGGAAACACUUAAAACAGAGGGAUUGAAAGACAAAAAAGUUACUCCUCUCAUUUUCCCAAAAUGGAAGGGCAGUUGAGAAGGGAGAGAUGGGUGGAACAUGGUGUCCUGUUUCCCAAGCUGGGCACUGAUCUGGAGAGGGCAUGGUGAGGGCUAAGGGGUUGAGACUGUGUCUCUACAGCAAGCUCAGGGAGACCCAUGAAACUAAACUCAGACAUGUCGAGUGGGUAAGCAAAUGAAGGGAUUUAGUUUAGCUGUAUAAGAGUUCCUUUGUUAUGGACAGAAUAAAGAACUUCCAACAUUCCCUAGGGAGAGAUGUCAUAGGUAGCUAAGGGUAUUGUCUAGGCAACCUGCCUCACUGGGCCUUUCUUUGUCCAGUGACAUGCUCUUGAGGGGUCAGAGGCAGAGGCUAAUGGCUAAUCCUGAAGGAAGAAUGCAAGUCCCCAUCAAAACCAUUAGUCUUCUUGGGCCAAUGGUAGCUAAAGCCCCAUCAUCAAGGGAAGAGGGGUGCAUUGCUUCAGUUAUAACACAGUACCCAGGAGACAUCAUAGGGGUCGCUGUUGCCCAUCUCUAACCAGUGAUAAUUCACACCUGAUUCUUAUUCAGCCUUUACAUUCGAGAGGCUGUGAAAGAUGAAGGAUGGACUGAGACACUGUCUUAGAGUGGAUUUGGAAGGAUAUUGUGACCUGCUGUCCCCAUUGGCCUGGUCAGGAUGUGGGAAUUUUAGUGCCCAUACCGAGACCAUAUGAGCAAACCAGUAUAAGCCUAUCACUACAUGGGUAGCCAAACGGAAAGGUUGGAAGCUACUUUAUCAUCCAGGCUCAGCUUGAGCUGCUUGGAGACCACUUAAACUAAUAUUCUGGAGUGAGUCAUCCAAAUUGGGCUCAAAUUUACUUACCGAUCUUCUCCCUUUCCCUCAGUUCUUCAGUACUAGGAGAUCAUAGCAAUUUCAGAACGAUGUCAUCACACAACUGAGAGUAAUAAGAUAGAGCGUGCCAAAGAGAGCAGUCCCCACAACAGCAAAACUAAAUAAGCAGCAUGACACAAAGUGGAGGAACCGCUUCUGAAGGAGGAAUUCGUAUAGAAUUCAUCAUCCACCAUGACGAAUAGAAAAUCCACAGCCAUGGGGGAUGGAAGAAGCAGUGUUACAUACUGAGCUACAGGGAGUGUCAGAGUGUGGGCUCCCUAGAGCAUGGGUGUCAGUAAGUCCUGUGACUUCUGAAGUUUAUAACCUAGGCAGGGAUUCACUGACUGAAUACAGGAGGGGAAAUGCUGUACAAUACAGCAGUUCUCUUGAGAAAGCCAACUGCUGGAAACCAGGGAGGGAUGAUAAGGCAAAUAUAAUUUAUUGGACAGAAGAGAGGUGUUCUGAUUUUGUGUGUGUGUGUGUGUGUGUGUUCAUAAGACAAAGUACUCAGACCAAAAUCAACUUGAGGAAGAAAGGGUUUAAUUCAUCUUACACUUCCAGAGUACAGCCUAUCGCUGAGGGAAGUUGGGAUAGGAACACUGCUUGCCCCUCACUCUACGUGCUGAGCCCUGUAACCAGGACUACCCACCUAGGUAUGGUACCUCCCAUGGUCCUUUUACAUGAAUUAGCAAUCAUGAAGAUGCCCCACAGUCAUGUUCAUGGGCCAAUCUGAUCUAGGCAAUUCUCUGAUUGAGAUUCUUCUUCCCAAGUGACUCUAACAUGAAUCAGAAAACCCAACCAGGACAGGAGAGAAAGACAGAUAUCCAGAUAAGUCCCCUUAAUUCAAUGGUUCUCAACCUUCCUAAUACUGUGACCCUUUAAUACACAUCCUCAUGCUGUGGUGACCCCCAAUCAUAAAAUUAUUUUCAUUGCUGUUUCAUAACUAAAUUUGAUACUGCUAUGAAUUGUAAUAUAAAUAUCUGCUAUUCAAUCCAUGUGAAAGGGUCAUUAGUUGUCCCCAAGGGGUAGCAACCUAUUGCUUUAAUAUAUCAGCAGGAAGAAAACUAGGAAGAAAUAUAAGAAAGAAAGAUAAAAAUUUUCUAAGCUCAUAUAAUACUGGAAACUGAACACAGUUUCGGCUAUAAGAUGGGAGCAAUGCUGUAAGGAUGAGCAUGCAACCAGAAGGGACUAACCCUGGUAUGGGAAUAACAGCAUCUCUGGGCUUGUCCUAGCAAGGUUAAAACCAAGGUGACAAGAGGAUUAAACUGAACUGAAAUCAGUUAACCACACUCUACAACAAAGUCCCACAUGGAAAGAAUACAACCUGGUACCUGGAAAUAUAAAGUUCACAAUGCCCAGUAUCUCAUAAAAAUAUCAACAAGGAUUCAAAGUUACAGGGAACCGUGACUCUUAACAAGAAGAAUACGUCAUAAGUAGAAAGAGAUACAGAAAUAACAGGUGAUGUGAUUACUGGAAAAAGACUUAAAGCCACUAUUAAUGUGCAAGUUUUAUAAAUAUGGUCAAGCAUUUAAGGACAUUAUGUACAUGAAAAAGAGAAAACAGAAGAGUUUAAGAGUAGGCAGAUAAACCCUAAUGGGAAACCCUAUUAAAAACUACCUGUAAUAAAAAUCAUAGUGAAUAGGACUAGUGGCAGAGUAAACAUGGCAGUGAGUUGGUAUCACAGCAAGAGAAACUCCUCCAGAUAACAUAUAGGUGUUUUUGCAAAUUCAAAGAAAGUGGACAGAGAACUGACGACCUGGGGGAAAGUAUCAGGAAGUUUGACAUACAUGCGAUUGAGUUCCAAGGAAGAGAGAAGAAAGAACAAUAUAGUUUCUUCUGAAUUUACAGGAGAUUUCUAUCACAAUAAAUGCCUCUAGAAGUGGAAACUAUCAUUAGGUCCGAAGUGUAUUUUAUCCAUUCCUACUGAAUAUCAUAUCCGCUCCCACAGUGCAGUGUGGUAAGAGCUUUUUUCCCUGGUGUUGACAUGUCUGAUUGGAGCUGUGGGUCACAGCAGCUGUCAGUCCUGAGAUGGGAUUGCUCUGCAUAUCAUUAGCAUUGAAAGACUCUAAAUUCAAAACUUGAAGCAUAGUUUCUACCUAAUGACAAUCAUUUUUGCAGUAUUCGACUAUGAGCAGAGGUAGAAACAGUAAAUGGGGUCUGUGACUAGGCACCUUCAGAUAAAACAAUACACAGCUCUCUG
rnacentral:lncRNA from 1 species